ACAGAUAAGGAGCUUGCUCCUUUGACGUUAGCGGCGGACGGGUGAGUAACACGUGGGUAACCUACCUAUAAGACUGGGAUAACUUCGGGAAACCGGAGCUAAUACCGGAUAACAUUUGGAACCGCAUGGUUCUAAAGUGAAAGAUGGUUUUGCUAUCACUUAUAGAUGGACCCGCGCCGUAUUAGCUAGUUGGUAAGGUAACGGCUUACCAAGGCGACGAUACGUAGCCGACCUGAGAGGGUGAUCGGCCACACUGGAACUGAGACACGGUCCAGACUCCUACGGGAGGCAGCAGUAGGGAAUCUUCCGCAAUGGGCGAAAGCCUGACGGAGCAACGCCGCGUGAGUGAUGAAGGGUUUCGGCUCGUAAAACUCUGUUAUUAGGGAAGAACAAACGUGUAAGUAACUGUGCACGUCUUGACGGUACCUAAUCAGAAAGCCACGGCUAACUACGUGCCAGCAGCCGCGGUAAUACGUAGGUGGCAAGCGUUAUCCGGAAUUAUUGGGCGUAAAGCGCGCGUAGGCGGUUUCUUAAGUCUGAUGUGAAAGCCCACGGCUCAACCGUGGAGGGUCAUUGGAAACUGGGAAACUUGAGUGCAGAAGAGGAAAGUGGAAUUCCAUGUGUAGCGGUGAAAUGCGCAGAGAUAUGGAGGAACACCAGUGGCGAAGGCGACUUUCUGGUCUGUAACUGACGCUGAUGUGCGAAAGCGUGGGGAUCAAACAGGAUUAGAUACCCUGGUAGUCCACGCCGUAAACGAUGAGUGCUAAGUGUUAGGGGGUUUCCGCCCCUUAGUGCUGCAGCUAACGCAUUAAGCACUCCGCCUGGGGAGUACGACCGCAAGGUUGAAACUCAAAGGAAUUGACGGGGACCCGCACAAGCGGUGGAGCAUGUGGUUUAAUUCGAAGCAACGCGAAGAACCUUACCAAAUCUUGACAUCCUUUGAAAACUCUAGAGAUAGAGCCUUCCCCUUCGGGGGACAAAGUGACAGGUGGUGCAUGGGUUGUCGUCAGCUCGUGUCGUGAGAUGUUGGGUUAAGUCCCGCAACGAGCGCAACCCUUAAGCUUAGUUGCCAUCAUUAAGUUGGGCACUCUAGGUUGACUGCCGGUGACAAACCGGAGGAAGGUGGGGAUGACGUCAAAUCAUCAUGCCCCUUAUGAUUUGGGCUACACACGUGCUACAAUGGACAAUACAAAGGGCAGCUAAACCGCGAGGUCAUGCAAAUCCCAUAAAGUUGUUCUCAGUUCGGAUUGUAGUCUGCAACUCGACUACAUGAAGCUGGAAUCGCUAGUAAUCGUAGAUCAGCAUGCUACGGUGAAUACGUUCCCGGGUCUUGUACACACCGCCCGUCACACCACGAGAGUUUGUAACACCCGAAGCCGGUGGAGUAA
rnacentral:rRNA from 1 species